rnacentral:rRNA from 1 species
AUUGAACGCUGGCGGCAUGCCUUACACAUGCAAGUCGAACGGUAACAGGCCGCAAGGUGCUGACGAGUGGCGAACGGGUGAGUAAUGCAUCGGAACGUGCCCAGUCGUGGGGGAUAACUGCUCGAAAGAGCAGCUAAUACCGCAUACGACCUGAGGGUGAAAGCGGGGGACCGUAAGGCCCCGCGCGAUUGGCGCGGCCGAUGUCAGAUUAGCUAGUUGGUGGGGUAAAGGCCUACCAAGGCAACGAUCGGUAGUUGGUCUGCGAGGACGACCAGCCACACUGGGACUGAGACACGGCCCAGACUCCUACGGGAGGCAGCAGUGGGGGAUUUUGGACAAUGGGCGCAAGCCUGAUCCAGCAAUGCCGCGUGCAGGAAGAAGGCCUUCGGGUUGUAAACUGCUUUUGUCAGGGAAGAAAUCUUCUGGGCUAAUACCCCGGGAGGAUGACGGUACCUGAAGAAUAAGCACCGGCUAACUACGUGCCAGCCGCCGCAGUAAGAC